rnacentral:rRNA from 1 species
AUUGAACGCUGGCGGCAGGCCUAACACAUGCAAGUCGCACGAGUGGCGGACGGGUGAGUAAUGUCUGGGAAACUGCCCGAUGGAGGGGGAUAACUACUGGAAACGGUAGCUAAUACCGCAUACUAUAGGAUGUGCCCAGAUGGGAUUAGCUUGUAGGUGAGGUAACGGCGAACCUAGGCGACGCUCCCUAGCUGGUCUGAGAGGAUGACCCAGCAGACUGGGAAUGAGACACGGGCCAGACUCCUACGGGAGGAAGAAGUGGGGAAUAGUGCACAAGGGGCGAAAUCCUGAGGCAGCCAUGCCGCGUGAAUGAAGAAGGCCUUCGGGUUGUAAAGUACUUUCAGCGGGGAGUCGUUACCCGCAGAAGAAGCACCGGCUAACUCCGUGCCAGCAGCCGCGGGAAUUC